rnacentral:lncRNA from 1 species
GUUCAAACCUUAGCCUCGGCAUGGUGCUCUACCCAACUUUUUCUUUUUUUAGUACUUGGAAAACAUUAACAUCUAUAAUAAAUCCAAAAAUCUCAUCCAUUAUUCUCUAAGAGACCAACAUACAAAAUUGACGAAACACAAAGUCACGGUCUCACAACAUGUAAUUAAACGGGCUACACGUGUUUCGCUCUAGUUAGAGCAUCAUCAGGCCUUUAGAAGCCAUCCACACACUUAUGCUGUAACUGAUGAUGCUCUAACUAGAGCGAAACACGUGUAGCCCGUUUAAUUACAUGUUGUGAGACCGUGACUUUGUGUUUUUCUUUGUUUUUCGUCAAUCUAUAGUAAAUACAGAGAGAAAAGGAAAGGUCUUAUUAUAUAUUAUAAUCAAAAAUAAAUUUCAUUGAAAUAUUACUAACUUAUUUCUGGGUAUCAUGCUUCAGAGAACCAUGAUGUGUUACAAUACGCUCCGCUCUUUAAUUUUAGUUUAGUAGAAAAUAUUCUCAAAACCUACAUAUAUCAAAAUUAUGUCAGGGUUCUAAAAUGAAUCGGUAAUAAAAUCGUAAACCAGAUCAACAUUGGAAAUAAUUUAAAAAAUUUGCUUUGGUCCGAUUGAAAAAAGUACUAUACUACCAAAUAGUUACAUCUAUUCUGUAGCAAUAAAAGUUAUAAAAUUCUGUCUAUUAUUAAUUUUAAUAUUAUAAAGUGUAUCGUUUAACUCUUAGCCAUUAUUUAUAAUUUAAUUGUUAAUUAUGCCUAAAAAAACGAAUUAACAACUUUGGUAUUGUUUGGAAGGUAAACAGCUUAAUUCCUUUAUGUAAAGCCACCUUAACAUGUUUUUGCAUAAUUCUGACUCACGUUGGUUGCUAUCGGGCUUAAGCCAUAAAAAUCGAAGAAAAAAAGAAGAAGACGAAGAGACUUUCACUUGUCAUUUCAAUGUCACUUUCCGGCCCACAAGCAUAAACGCCACCGGCAACGGAAGUUCCCAAAAUCCAAACAAAUGUUGGAAGAUAUUUUUAAGUCUCCGCAUCUUUCUUACUUUCCUAUAUGAAAAUAAAAUGUAAGUAUCACAAUUACACACAUACAAGUUUUUUUUUUUAAUUCAGUUUCAUAAUUACCAAUUUUUAGUGAAUAAUCCUGAAAUUUAUGAAAAUACAUACAUUUUAAGGUUAUGUCAUAAUGUUUUGAUUGUUAUAUUUGAUUUUGUUUUUGUUAUUUUAGUGGACUACACCAACAAAGGUUAUGUGUUUUGCACCAGAUUGAAAGCAUCAUAGCGAAAAACGGACCUGUCAUAUCUUUAAAUUUUCAAAAGAGCCCCUGGAAAAAGAAAAAUGAAUAUCUUUGCCAAGGAAUAGGCAAAUGGAUAAAAAACCUUCAGUCCAUGCAUUGGUAUGUAAUUGUUGACAAAAAUACAAUGAAUGGCCUCACUACUUUUCCACAUGCAAAGAGGUUAACCAAGGAGAAAUUAAAGAAAUUGUCAAAAACCUAGGUAAAUACAGAAUUGCUUAGUACAAACAUAUCUAUACCCAGUACAAGUUCGUCCACUUCUUUGAAGCAUGGUACUUCAAACAGAGACACUGUCAACAAUUUUGUAGAAGGUGAGCCGGUGUCAAAUUCCAGUAAGGGACAUGAUUUCAAUUUUGCACCAACAGCAGAGCUAAAAUUCAUUUUGCCGCAAAAAACUGGAGGAUGUGAAAGAAAAAAGUGCAGAAGUUAAAAUUAAGUUUUUCAUAUGAGCACAUAAAAAAUAAUCAUGACAAAGUUCAGUUGUAUACAGGUUUGACAUGUAAUAAAUAUUUUUGUAAUCUUAUUAAGUUAAUUAGUUUUAUAUAUUAUUUAAAUAAUAAUUGUAUACUUCACAUAGAA